rnacentral:rRNA from 1 species
CACGUAGGGCGCGAGCGUUGUCCGGAAUUAUUGGGCGUAAAGAGCUCGUAGGCGGCCUGUUGCGUCCGCUGUGAAAGCCCGGGGCUUAACCCCGGGUCGGCAGUGGAUACGGGCAGGCUAGAGGUAGGUAGGGGAGAAUGGAAUUCCCGGUGUAGCGGUGAAAUGCGCAGAUAUCAGGAGGAACACCGGUGGCGAAGGCGGUUCUCUGGCAAUGUUCUGACGCUGAGGAGCGAAAGUGUGGGGAGCGAACAGG